rnacentral:lncRNA from 1 species
CAGAGUCGCGGGAGUCGCACGUCCUCUCGUUUCGCUCUUACUCUUUUUUCAUUUAUUUUCCCUAUAAAUAUCACACGUAGUAGUCGUUAGUCGAUACUAGAAGAGCAACCGAGUGUUUCCUUUCGUUUUUUUAACUGAGUCAGCGCACAGCAGCAGCGGCGGGUAGCCAGCGACAACGAAAACAGAAACGAGACUCUUCCAACGUAAUUGAAACGAAGCUGACUCCGGGAGGGAUUAUUUUAGUCGUCGUUGGGCCGUGAGAGCUCGACCUGGCUCCUGCUUAGUAUAAAAUAACAAGACACGCAAAAGACAAAGUAAAAUAAAAGAAAAUAAAAAAAGAACAUAAUCGAUAAUUAAUAGGAGUUUCUCGAAAGACUUUUCAACGUUGUACCUAUCACUUGAGCAUUUGGAUUAUUAUCGAGUAUAGACCAUAAAAAUUAUAUAAAAAAAAAAGAAAAAAAAAAAAAAAAGAA